rnacentral:rRNA from 1 species
AACGAACGCUGGCGGCAGGCUUAACACAUGCAAGUCGAGCGCCCCGCAAGGGGAGCGGCAGACGGGUGAGUAACGCGUGGGAACGUACCCUUUACUACGGAAUAACGCAGGGAAACUUGUGCUAAUACCGUAUGUGCCCUUCGGGGGAAAGAUUUAUCGGUAAGGGAUCGGCCCGCGUUGGAUUAGCUAGUUGGUGGGGUAAAGGCCUACCAAGGCGACGAUCCAUAGCUGGUCUGAGAGGAUGAUCAGCCACAUAGGGACUGAGACACGGCCCAAACUCCUACGGGAGGCAGCAGUGGGGAAUAUUGGACAAUGGGCGCAAGCCUGAUCCAGCCAUGCCGCGUGAGUGAUGAAGGCCCUAGGGUUGUAAAGCUCUUUCACCGGAGAAGAUAAUGACGGUAUCCGGAGAAGAAGC